GACGUAGGGCGCGAGCGUUGUCCGGAUUUAUUGGGCGUAAAGAGCUCGUAGGCGGCUUGUUGCGUCGACCGUGAAAACCCGGGGCUCAACUUCGGGCUUGCGGUCGAUACGGGCGGGCUAGAGUUCGGUAGGGGAGACUGGAAUUCCUGGUGUAGCGGUGAAAUGCGCAGAUAUCAGGAGGAGCACCGGUGGCGAAGGCGGGUCUCUGGGCAACAACUGACGCUGAGGAGCGAAAGCGUGGGGAGCGAACAGG
rnacentral:rRNA from 1 species